GGCUCGGUAGUGGACGGUCCACGCCCGCAUUUGAUUCUUGGAGAUCAUGAUUCAGUGGGACGCGCUUGUUCGACUUGAGCCCGAGCCA